rnacentral:lncRNA from 1 species
GUUGCACUCAAUAGUCCUCGGCUCAGCCUUUUUUUUCCUUCACAGCUACAGUCAUAGCCUCUCGUGUUCUGAACCUUGCUUGUUUUUGGAUCUUGCCUUUUUUGAUCUGAUCAGGGAUCAAUUUUUGUUUGCAUUAUAAUCUAAUAAACAACAUUCACACAGACACCAGCUGAGCAGAGAGAAAUGCAGACAGGUAGAGGCUCCAAAGGGCAAGAGCUCAAGCCAAUGUUUCCAGUAAUGUGAUGUUAUUUAGUAAUACAGCUUAUCUGCUGCCGGUGUGAUUUGUGACAGCUUUUUUGGACAAAAACAUUCAGCAGAGACCCAAGUAAGGAGCUGUGAAAGAGCCAAUACACACAGAUGUUUCUAUGAAAUGGAGACAAACAGCAAGAGUCGUGUUCCUACUAUCGAGCCACUCCUGAACCAGAGACAUCGACAGGGCCAGUCCAGAGACACAACCUAAAGUCUACCAGGAGAUUUAAGAGCACUUCAUGCUUCCAACUUCUGAGAAGAAGCUCUUUGGAGACACACAUCUCCUCUUCCAGCAGGACCAGCACCUUUCUACGGCCCAUAACUCCCAGAAGCUGGUUUGCUGAUCAUGGUAUGACUGUGCUUGAUUGGUCAGUCAACUCACCUGACCUAAACCUCAUAGAGAAUCAGUGAGGUAUCAUCAAGAGAAUGGUGAGAGACACCAGCACCAACAAUACAGACAAAGGAGCUAUCACCCCAGAAGAGCCAUGGUUUGAUUUCCCCUAUGCCAGGUCACAAUUAUUAACCUUUCUCCUGUGUUGGCUUUUACUACGCACCAACCAUUGUUAAGGGUUGGUUUUGACUCCUGUCCAAAGUCAGCUGUUAAUUACAGUAAAUCACUUCUCUAUUGUCCAGUUUGGUUCUCCUCUCUAGGUUACCUUGUAACCUGUUCACUUCAUUAUUCAUUGAAUUUUGCCUAUAAUAGUUUUUGUUGUGGUCCUCUGGGCCUUUCUUUGUCAGUAUACCCCUCACACAGACAUCUAUACUGAAUUGAUCUCACAUGUCUGGACAUGCCCGAUGUUGUUUUUUGUGCAGGGAAAAACAUGGCAAAAUGAGAAUUUCCUAAAUAUCAUGAUUGGAAGAGGAUCUGACUGUCAGUGUGGUGCCUGACAGUGCACUUUGAUUUCAGUUUUUGCUCUAAUUAUUAGAUAUUGAUCUAACCAGAUCAACAGCAACCCUAACAUAACAAGUGCCAUCAUUUUAAUAAGAGCAUUUUAAAAUUUAGUCAAUUAAAUUUUUUUAUUUUCAUUUUGUUGAAAUAGAGGUUCCUGACAAAGUCAAAAACUCUUGAUGCAAAAAAGCAAAUACAAGUGGUUCUUUUAAGCAUUUAAAAUAAAAAAACAUAUCAGUGCAGACCUUAACACAGGAGGAGGGUUAAGUAAUUAAUGCAAAAAGAGCCCUAACCAAGUACUGAGUGCAUAAAUGAACAUAAUUUUCCAGAGGGUCAGCAUUUAUGUAUUUUAAAUCCUCUUUUUUGGAUUGGUGUUGGUAAUACUCUAAUGUUUUAAGACAGUGAAUUUUUGAUUUUCAUGAGCUGGAAGCUGUAACCAUUAGAAUACAAACAAAAAGUCUCAAAAUAUUUCACUAGAGUAUACAGAAGUUUCAUAUUCUCAGUUAAAAAUGGGAAAUAUGGCAUAUUUCUUUGGAUAUUCUAAUUUUUUGAGCCCACCUGUAGAUCUUCACUGAACUAUAUCGUCUUAUUUUGAAAUCACAGACACUUCACUGAAACAAAGUUUUUGCUGAAGACUCCAAACUUGGUAUUCGGGAGCAGAGCCAGCGACCAAGAAGCACUUAACGGGUUUGGACAAGAUGCUCAGCCAUAAUCAAGUCAAUCAGCUGUGAUAACACCUCAGCUGGAGACAUCUGACACAACUGAUCUAACCUCAGAGGGCUGCUGGCCAAGAUAAACAAAAGUGUGGUGUUGUUUCCUCUAGUAAAUAAAAAGUAAAAAUUCUUUGGAAACCACAAGACUCAAAAUAAGAGUUUUAAUGAGUGUCACAAGCAAUAAAAUAUUUAGUAUUUGUGGAGAGUGGUUGGGUGUCAGCCUAACACCCUCAACUGAUAUGUAAGUGUGAAAAUAUUAACUUCAGAUGUUGGAAAGUCCUAAUAUUCCUUGAAUCAAACGGUCACUUAUAACAAUAAAAAGUACACAUUUUUUAAAGUAGAUGCUGCUCCUUAAAAUAAACCUCUAACUAGGUCAGUCUUUACUCAUCUAUGUUCAAAUGUACACUUUUAUAUCUCUGAUCCCUUUAUUGUGGGUCAACAGGUUAGUUUUACACUUUUAAUCCAGAAAUGCUCAGUGUCCUCGCAGAGCCGCAGUUGUUUCUCUUGACCUUACGCAUGACUGUUUAAUGAGACAUUGUCCUUGGACGCCUCUCAAGGCGUCACAGCUCGCCCAAAACAUGAAUAAAUAAGGCCUGGAAACUGCUGCGGGGGGCUUGACAACGACAGGGAAAUAUAGAGGUAGCACUUGAUCCGAAUAGACUUUUUUCAUGAAUAAUAAUGUCUCCAUGUGGAUCAUUUAGGGUUUACAGGCAAAGACAAAUCUUGUCAAAGGAGCCCUCUUUCCCCUGUGUAGGUCAUGAGAGACAUGGACAUGUUUCCGAGGCUAAACAUGAGCCCUGGAUUGAAAAUUGUUAAGUCACAACAAAGAACUUUAAGUAAAGUUUGAGGAUUAUAAGACUGUGAGUUUAGAUGGUACUGGGAUUGAUUUUUCAUGAUUCAACUUUAUCGAUAUCAUGUUUGGGGUUACAAAGAAGGCCUAUCUGUAACUCUUGUAUCUCAGUCCUCUUUCAGCAGCCUGGUUGAGUUCUGUCUUUGAUUUUAUCCAUGUACUCCCCUACCCUGUGCAUACGGCAG